GGUAUAUGGGGGUUGGGAGGGGAGGGGGCAUCCCUAUCCUUCAGGCUCUUGGACCCUGAAGACCUGGGAUUGCAGUGAAGAUUGACCCCCGGUAACACAGACGCGACCCCUGGCGUCAAUCCCAACAGGGUCUACAUUUGGAAAGAUCCAGACCUUACAUUAAGGUCCAGAUCUUUCCAGAUGUCAAAUUAAUCCAGAAUAAACUGGGAAAUCUCAGUAAACUGGGAAAUCUCAGAUUAAUUUAAGAUUACCUGAGGCAUCAUUUGGACACCCCAGGUAAACUCAUGACAGGUCCCGCAUUUUCAGCCUUUCUGGAAAGGCCCUCAGUCACCAAUGUGAACAGUUUUAGAUUUUGUUGUAUUUUGUAUUUCAGAAUUCUGGAUAAGGGAUGCCCAACCUGUAUAUGUAUAUUAAAGGAACAACAGAUCAAGAGUAAGAAAAUCUGUGAGAAAGAAUUUAAUAUUCUAUGUUUUGGACAGGGAGCAGAGUUACUCUUUGAUCCACACAGUGCCUUUAAUAUUUGACAUGUUAGUGCUAAGUGGCUUUUCCAUAUUUGUUCUUCAAACAUGUCAGUCUAACAUCAGUGUUUGUUUUACCUUUAGCGACCCUGUUGUUUAUAUUGUUUGUAAUUCUUGAAAGUCUGUGCAUGUUCUUAAUUAGCUUAGUCUCAGCAAGGGUAGUUUCUACUCCCAAAUUCAGGGGAGGAGAGCCUUCUUUUGUAAAACUGUUGGAUUUGUGCAGUUUAUAUUGUUUGGAAAUCAGAGAUCUCUCUCUGAGUCUCUGGCUAGUGAAUCUCUUCUUGUUUUUGCUCCUCCAUGCUUGGAGAGAAGAAUUUCACAUUUUAUAUUUCUUCUGCUCUGAGAGAUUUCCAUCUUCUGAUGCAUGACUUCUGUUAUAUGACAUUUAAAAUCUGGCAGAGAGUUGAGGCAUUUUAGAUCUGGAUGCAGUUGCAAAUAAAGAGCAGAAGCAUUAUUAUGCAGUGAUUUAACAGAUAUGGCAAGAUUCUGAACUCAUUUUUUGUGGGAUUUUUGUACUUACUGUUUUGCUUCUUUCCUGAUAGCAACAUUCUAACAUGCUAAAAUUGUUUUUACAGUGUAUCAGUUCUGAAAUAAGAUUAUUAUAAUGUUAGAUCGCUCAAAAGAUUAAAGCCAAUUUUUGUGCAUUUUUCAGGUGGAUACUAAUUUUUCUGCAUGAUUUCUUUGGCAUAUUAUUUUCUCUGCCCCGCACAACCCAAGCCCUCAAAUAUAUGCAUUUCCAGAUAUAGGUUCCCUUCAAUUCCACUGUCGGUUAUAAAAAUACAUUGCAUGUAUUUUUAUUCAAGUUUGCUAACUGAAACGUUUCUUCCCUGUCCCUCACUGGCCACCUCAUCUCAUUGAGAAGGGAAAGCAUGGGUGACCAUCUCUUUAAAAGUAGAGAAUCACCCCUCUUGCACCCAUUUUUCAGUUGUAAACAUGGGAGUAAAGUGUAAUAAGAGGUAGGAGCUCUGAACACAAUUGUUGACCCGUGUUCAGAGUUCCCUCCUUUCAGGGCAUUUCUGCCACUUUUCAACCCUGGUACAUGUGAUGAGCUCCAUGCUUCUCCAUGCUUAAAAAGAGGCUGAAGUGUCCUACAACUAAGAAAUGUCUCGAUGUGAUAAGGUCACUAAUUUCAUAUAUAUGUUAUACCAUUUCAUUAUAGACAUUCUGCUGAAGCUCCUGGUAAAUGGUGUUCUCUCUGAUGUUUACCAAGGUCUGAUCAUUAUUACAGCAAGAAAGAAGAAGGAUGAGAAGAGGGAGGAGCAGGAAUGAAGUAGAAGUGAAGGAUGUGUUGCUAUUUCUGGUCAUUCAAGCCCUUCAGGAUUUAACACCAUGGGGCAAAGCUUUAUGUUCUUAGUAGCUUACAAAGGUUGGUCAUGGGACUUUGAAGAGCUCCUGGUUAUCACCAGGUACCUUUGCUCACGUCAACAUAUGUACUUGUGCAAAUUGGGGGAAGGAGAGUGAUCACCCCACUCCUUUUUCUCCCAUCUUUCUCCAUGUUGCACGGACAUCUUUGCUGGCAUCAAAGUGGUUUUUCCACUUUGAAGGAACUUUGAACUCCUAACUACCACAAAUGUGGAGGAACUACUCUAAUGAGCAGCUUGGCAACCCUGAAGAGAAGAGCAAACUCAGCGUGGGAUGUCACAGGUACAAAAAGAUGACAGCAUGGAACUGCAAAAUCUCCCAGCAUCUCUUAUAAUUGCAUUCAGCUCC